GCAUGUGGCCCAGAAUUUGACAAGUACAUGCCGGAACUCUACAAGUACUUGGAGAUCGGCCUUCAAAAUUUUGAAGAAUACCAGGUGUGUGCUGUUACUGUUGGAGUGGUAGGCGAUAUUUGCAGGGCGUUGGAAAAUAAAGUUCUACCUUAUUGUGACGGGAUCAUGACACAGCUUCUGAAGGAUUUGUCAAGCAAUCAGUUGCAUCGAUCCGUUAAGCCCCCUAUAUUCUCCUGCCUUGGCGACGUUGCACUGGCAAUAGGCCAAGACUUUGAAAAAUAUCUGAUGUACGCCAUGCCAAUGCUCCAAAGUGCUGCCGAAUUGUCUGCUCAUACUACAGGUGCUGAUGAUGACAUGGUCGAAUAUACGAAUUCUCUCAGAAACGGAAUCUUGGAGGCUUAUUCUGGAAUAUUUCAAGGGUUUAAGAACUCAACUAAAACCCAGCUGUUGAUUCCUUAUGCACCACACAUUCUCCAGUUCUUGGAUAGCAUAUACAUGGAGAAAGACAUGUCAGUAGCUUAUUUUGAUCUUGAUUCUCAAUUUUGCAGCCAUGAAAAAUAUCAGUGUUUGACUGUAAAUUGACUUUUUAACUUGUUUGAAUUCAUGCAGGGAUGAUUUAGUGAUGAAAACAGCUAUUGGAGUACUUGGAGACUUGGCAGACACACUUGGAAGCAAUGCUGGAACUAUGAUACAGAAUUCUCUCUCAAGCAGGGACUUCUUAAACGAAUGCUUAUCUUCGGAAGAUGGUUCGAUAAAGGAAUCUGCUGAAUGGACGAGGCUAGCGAUCACUCGUGCCAUAUCUGCUUGAGAGGUUAUUUGCCAAGCUCGGCAUGUUCUUUCGUUUUAGAGUCCUGCAUGCAUGCAUUGGGGUAUCUUGAGUCAGUCAGGUCCUGGGUUUGCGUUCGUGUCAAGUCGGUCUCGGCAUUUUUCUGGUAACACAAGUUACUCGGGGUGUCCAGUUUUGUCACUAGCUCUUGAAUCAGCACCCGCUGGAGGGCUCGGCUCGGAGGCAUUUGAUUGGCUGCAAACAUCGUUUUGAAGUCAUAACCAGUUGGAAAUAAGGGUCCAAGAAGUGUCAUCAUUCAUAUUGCAUGGAGUCGGUGCAAGUCGGUCAUGGACAUUUGAGUUGGUUGAUGAUAGGUGCUGAGUCGGGUGCAAGGAAUCGUCGCCGAUUGCAUGUAGGGUUGGUCCGUCCGUCCAAGUCGUAAGGUCUCGAUGGGUGUUCCACCAGGACCGAACUCGAAGAGCAUUUGCCGAAACUUUUUUCCUGUGUUUUACUGCAUCUGUCAUCGUUUGUAUCUGUUGUCAUAUGGUAGGUUGUACCAUUGUACCUUCAUUUGUGGGGAAUAUACUUGAAGAGUCUUGCAUUGCAUGAUUCAUUUGUUUUUGUUUUCUAAACUUGUUAUUUCUCUAUAAAGCACUAUAAGUCUGAGAGCUUAUAUAUCAAAACAUCAUGCAUUCAUUCAUUCAUCAGAAUUUCCUUUGCAGCAUCUGGUAAUUAUUGAGUUUGUGCUCAUCUUUUCUUUGGAAGAUGUGUGAUUUUACUGAUCUUUCCUCUUGUUUCAUAACUGACAGAAGUAUCUCUUUUUAUGCUAGAAACUUUUCGAACGACUGAUGCGUUAUUGUUCGAUGAGUUUCUGUUGUGAUCCCUGUGUCAUCGGCGCGUUUCUGGUAAGCAUCGAAAGACACUUUCACGACUUGCGAGUGUUAUAAGUUGUUAUAAGUUAUAAUUAGUUAUUGACUAUGGUCCAUAAGUUAAGUAGGUUGCUCUGAGCCAAUACUCAUGGGUUAUGAUUCAUUUCGGCGUAACGAUUGAGUUGCACGGUAUCUGCUCAAGUUUUAGCCUAGAUAUUUAUAAGAGUUCAUCAGAGUCAUGGCCAGAUCACGAUAGCCACAUAUCAACCUUCGAUUGAUAACCUAAGUAAGUAUUGAAUCUCCACUGUUACUGAGAUGAACAGUGGAAAUUCCACCCGAGAGCCCGAGAACUUAAUUUGUUUUGCCUCAUUGCAAACCUAGUCCUUGCUACUCAUACUGAUGUUGUUGAGUUCAUUGUAACUAGUUAAUCCUAAGCAUAAAAUGUUAUUUCAAUCAAACCGGACAUAUAACAAAAUGCGUGACACAUUUAUAGGCUAGAGGCUCAAUCGAGGCCGAACCUUCAAAAAACCCCGCUCAAAGAGUGCGCCCCCGUCCCAAAUGAACUCUCUACCAAGGUUUUGGACAAUGAACGGGGAGAUUGCAUCGCGUUUCUUUAUAAGCCUGCAUCGAAUUUAAAAAUUGUUCGGGCUAGCGACACAUUGUCAAAUAUCGAUUCCAAUCAAUUAACAGCGAUUCGUUUCGGAUGGAAAUGAACUAGAUAUGUCUGAUUAACAUUUGUGCAAUAGAACCAGUGUCACCUUAGUGUUAUUAUACAACACACAAUUUCACAAAUAUGCAUCAUUUACAACUGCAAGUAAAUGCUUGAGAGAUGCAAUUCCAACUCCCAAGUAAAUAAUAGAACCAUAAAGAAAAAUGAAUAUCUAGUUGUAUUUGAUGAAAGAAAUAUUUUAAUGGUAAACAUGAUAAUUAUUUAAAAAGUUUGAUGUUACUAUUUGUUGUCUUAGAAUUUUGAAAUUUAGAUGUCUUAAAUGUCCUAUUUAAUCUCAACAAUUUUCCAACGACUGAACCUUCUCCGAUAAAGAUGUCCGCCUCCUCCACUAAACACCACCACAGGCAACCACCGUCCUCCUCCGAACUACACCGCAAUAAUCCCAACCCUAACAAUGCGGUGGCUCCUCCCGCACCUCCUUAAACAACAAUCCCCGACCUGCCACGAAUUGUUGAAACGAAGGUCUUACCAUAUGGAGCAGCUCUUGCAUUUAAUAAUAAUAAAACACAAAAGAAUAUAAAUUGGAACGCAUUGGUCAAAUGUCCCCGUCACAAUGUUCGGUAAAAACGUUGAAGGCAAGGACAAAAUGAUCAAUCCGGACAUCCUUUCCUCGCCAUCAGCGUCUUCGCCAAACGUACUAGGGUGAAUAGAGUCUAACUACCACGUCUCAACUUAACUUUUUAAAAAAUAAAUCAAUUUGUGUUUUGCUAUUGUCAUUAUAUUUACAGAUUAGUAUUAUUAUUAGUAACCGAUACUAAUAAAUUAAAAAAUAAUAAUAAAUUGAAUAGUUAAAUAAUUAAAUUUCUCAUGUAAUUAACUUGAUAAGUAUUUAAAACAUUAUUAGAUAUUUGUUUUGUUUGAGUAGAAAUUAAUUUCCUCGGCCAAUUUCCUGACUCCAUUAGAAAAUUUUAUUUACUCAUAAAUUCAACUUUGCUUUUGCGUCCGCAUCCUCUCUCUCUGUAGCUCCGCGCCUCCCCACUAGGGUUCAACCUCGCCGUCGCAUCUCUCUGAUCUGCCACCGGACAAUUUUCCUUCCUCCCUUCAGCUUUUCAAAUUCCGUAAGUGACACUCUCCUUGCCUUGAUUUUACUUCCGGAUUUCGAUUCUCUAUUCGUUUGUUUUUGGGGCCAAGUUUGAUCUUCUUCUAGUGUUCCUACUAUCCGAUUCGCGUUUUUUUUGGUUUGGUUCGCACUAUCCUGCUCGUCUGCUCUGUUCAUCAUACUUCUAAAUCUGAAUGCAUCUUUGUCGAACUAUCUAUUAGCUUGUAGUGAUUAGGUUUCGGUUCUCCAAGCCGAGUUUUUUUCUUCCUCUUUCGCCAUGAUCCGGAUUGACUACUCCUUUUAAGUUGGGGAUGUGCUUAACUUGCAGUUCAGCUAGUUUUAGUUGCGAUGUCGAUCUAUGGUUGUUGAUUUCAAUUUCAUAUUCUCAAUUUUAUAUGUGGAUGUUGGACUCAGUCAAUUUUGAUUUGGGUAAUAUUGAUAUGCUUUGUCCGCUCGAGAAAAUUGCAAGCUUUUCCAACAACUUUCAGCAGAGCUCUUUCGUUAGACUGAUCUUCACUUGAAAAUUCGUUUUUUUAAUCUCAACCACCCUAUUUGAUCGUGGGUGUGCUUAUUGAAAGGUGGGUCUUUCUCAGUUGCGAUUGGAUGGAAAAAUUUUGUUGUGUUAUUCCAGUGUUCCUACUAUCUGAUUGGCUUAUUGAAUGCUUACAAUUCAAUCUGAAUGCCUCUUUUUCGAACUGUGUACAGAUAGAUCAUGGCUAUGGAGGUGACACAGGUGCUUCUGAAUGCACAAUCGAUAGAUCGCAAUGUUCAGAAGCAAGCUGAGGAGAGCUUGAAUCAGUUCCAAGAGCAGAACCUCCCUGCUUUCUUGUUUUCUCUCUCUGGUGAGCUUGCCAAUGAAGAUAAACCUGCUGAUAGCCGCAGAUUAGCUGGUUUGAUGUUGAAAAAUGCACUGGAUGCUAAGGAGCAGCAUAGGAAGUUUGAGCUUGUUCAGAGAUGGUUGAUGUUGGAUGCUACUGUAAAGGCUCAGAUAAAAACAUGCUUGUUGAAGACACUCUCUUCUCUUGCACCUGAUGCUCGUAAACCUGCAGCUCAAGUAAUUGCCAAAGUUGCUGGAAUUGAGCUCCCCCAGAAACAGUGGCCUGAACUGAUUGGAUCCCUUUUGUCGAAUGUUCAUCAGCUACCUGCUCAUGUCAAGGAAGCAACCUUGGAGACUCUUGGGUAUCUGUGCGAGGAAGUUUCUCCGGAUGCUGUGGAUCAGGAUAACGUGAAUAAAAUCUUGACUGUUGUUGUUCAAGGAAUGAGUUCUUCCGAAGUGAAUACUGAUGUCAGACUGGCUGCUAUUCAAGCAUUAUAUAAUGCACUGAGCUUUGCUCAAGCAAAUUUCAGCAAUGACAUGGAACGUGAUUAUAUCAUGAGAGUUGUCUGUGAGGCUGCUUUGUCGAAAGAAUUGAAGAUCCGCCUAGCAGCUUUUGAAUGUUUGGUGUCUAUUGCAUCAAUGUACUAUGAGAAGUUAACUCCAUAUAUGCAAGAUAUCUUCACAAUCACAUCAAAAGCCGUGAGGGAAGAUGAAGAAGAUGUAGCUCUCCAGGCAAUUGAAUUCUGGAAUUCAAUUUGUGAUGAAGAGAUAGACAUAUUAGAAGAGUACGGGGUCGAGUUUACUGGGGACUCAGAUGCAGUUCAAUGCUCCUAUUUUGUCAAGCAGGCUUUGACUGUUCUUGUACCAAUUUUGUUGGAAACACUUUUGAAGCAAGAGGAAGACCAAGACAAAGAUGACACUGCUUGGAAUAUUGCAAUGGCAGGUGGAACAUGUCUUGGGCUUGUUGCACGUACUGUGGGAGAUGAUAUUGUUCCCCUUGUUAUGCCAUUCAUUGAAGAGAACAUAACAAAACCUGAUUGGAGGCAAAGAGAGGCAGCUACUUAUGCUUUUGGGUCAAUUUUGGAAGGUCCUUCUCCAGACAAGUUGACACCGAUUGUUAAUGUUGCUUUGAACUUCAUGUUAACAGCUUUAACAAAGGACCUGAAUACUCAUGUAAAAGAUACCACUGCCUGGACUCUUGGGCGUAUCUUUGAGUUUCUUCAUGGUUCAACGAUGGAUGCACCAAUCAUUACGCAGGCCAAUUGCCAACAAAUAAUUACUGUACUACUCCAAAGUAUGAGUGAUGCGCCAAAUGUGGCUGGGAAGGCUUGUGGGGCACUAUACUUUCUUGCUCAGGGUUAUGAAGAUGUGGGCCCAUCAUCUCCUUUGACCCCAUACUUCCAGGAUAUUGUACAGGCACUUCUCACGGUCACUCAUCGGAAAGAUGCAGAUGAUCGGCUAAAGACAGCUGCCUAUGAAACACUUAAUGAAGUGGUUAGGUGUUCAACAGACGAAACUACUCCUAUGGUGUUGCAACUUGUUCCUGUGAUAAUGAUGGAACUUCACAAUACACUCGAGGGUCAGAACCUUUCAUCUGAUGAGAGGGAGAAACAACAAGGGCUUCUUUGUGGGUGUUUACAGGUCCUUGUUCAGAAGCUUAGCUCGUCGGAGUCAACUAAGUAUUCGUUUAUGCAGUAUGCAGACCAGAUAAUGGGUCUGUUCCUUAGGGUGUUUGCUUCUAAAAGCGCAACUGUGCAUGAGGAGGCCGUGCUUGCUAUUGGAGCCCUUGCCUAUGCAUGUGGCCCAGAAUUUGACAAGUACAUGCCGGAACUCUACAAGUACUUGGAGAUCGGCCUUCAAAAUUUUGAAGAAUACCAGGUGUGUGCUGUUACUGUUGGAGUGGUAGGCGAUAUUUGCAGGGCGUUGGAAAAUAAAGUUCUACCUUAUUGUGACGGGAUCAUGACACAGCUUCUGAAGGAUUUGUCAAGCAAUCAGUUGCAUCGAUCCGUUAAGCCCCCUAUAUUCUCCUGCCUUGGCGACGUUGCACUGGCAAUAGGCCAAGACUUUGAAAAAUAUCUGAUGUACGCCAUGCCAAUGCUCCAAAGUGCUGCCGAAUUGUCUGCUCAUACUACAGGUGCUGAUGACGACAUGGUCGAAUACACAAAUUCUCUCAGAAAUGGAAUCCUG
rnacentral:lncRNA from 1 species